CGAUACUUGGUGUGAAUUGCAGAAUUCAGUGAAUCAUCGAAUCUUUGAACGCACAUUGCGCCCGCCAGUAUUCUGGCGGGCAUGCCUGUUCGAGCGUCAUUUCAACCCUCAAGCCCCUAGGGCCUGGUGUUGGGGAUCGGCGAUAGUCGCCGUCCCCCAAAUCUAGUGGCGGUCUCGCUGUAGCCUCCAUUGCGUAGUAGCUAACACCKCGCAACUGGAACGCGGCGCGGCCAAGCCGUUAAACCCCCCAAACUUCUGAAUGUUGACCUCGGAUCAGGUAGGAAUACCCGCUGAACUUAAGCAUAUCAAUAAGCGGAGGA
rnacentral:rRNA from 1 species